rnacentral:rRNA from 1 species
CUUGCAAACUGGAGAUGGCGACCGGCGCACGGGUGAGUAACACGUAUCCAACCUGCCGAUAACUCGGGGAUAGCCUUUCGAAAGAAAGAUUAAUACCCGAUGGCAUAAUAGAACCGCAUGGUUUGAUUAUUAAAGAAUUUCGGUUAUCGAUGGGGAUGCGUUCCAUUAGGCAGUUGGUGGGGUAACGGCCCACCAAACCUCCGAUGGAUAGGGGUUCUGAGAGGAAGGUCCCCCACAUUGGAACUGAGACACGGUCCAAACUCCUACGGGAGGCAGCAUG